rnacentral:pre_miRNA from 1 species
AAAAAGACAAAUUGUGGGUCUAGUAUCUUAUAUGAAUUUUUUUAUAAUUAGUAUUUUCAUUGUUGUUAGAUAAUAAAACAUGAUUAAUACUUUAUGCGUGACUUAUCUUUUUAAUUUUUUUAUAACUUUUUCAAAUAAGACGGCCGGUCAAACGUUGAACACGGAAAUCAGGGUUUGUCUUUAUU